rnacentral:lncRNA from 1 species
ACCAAUUCCGGACACAAUCUCAGCACUGUGGGAGACUGAGGCACCUGCCAAACCUGCACAGAUUCCUACAGCAGCCAGUUCGCUCUGUCUCGAGGCUUCAGAGGAACACGAACUUCUCUGAUGGAAGAGCCUUGUUCUAGAAGGGAGUGAAGCCUAGGUCUUUCCUGAGCACACAGAAGAUCAAGACCACACUCACUGACUUCUCAUAGUCAAGCAAUUUUGGCCAAUUAAAUGUCAGUUGGAAACUCCUGUGUCAGCUUCUCUGUGGCGGUGAGAAGUCCCUGUGUGACAUCCCAACUCUCCCCUCACCUGCGUUGGCAACCAAGAAAGCCUUGUGUUGGAGGUGGGGCCACAAGUUUAAAGCUAAGUUACCACCUCGAGGGCACAUUCCUGGAGAGCUUCCCAGGCCCACAGUGGCACGUGUAUGAGUGACAGAUCCACUUCUUUAUUACCUUUUUGAAGAACAGGAACCUUUGUCUGGAAAUUCCACAAGUAUGCCUUUUGCAAGAUUAAAAGUGCCACAAAGAACAAAAAUGAGCCCAGGACCAGAUGCAUGUUAAAAGCCAUCAGACACGUUAAGUUUCAUCUCCAUUGACCUGCAGAAGGAGUCUCUCACCACAGCCACCACAUCUAUGCAUGUGCUGAGUCACAUGUGAAGCCAGCACAUCUCAGAGUCUCACCGAAAGCUCAUGGUGAGACAAAGAGACUAGAAGGGGUAGAGUCAGCUAACUUCUCUCCUCCCACCACUGAUGAGGUUUUGGUGAAUUCUCUUCCCUUGCUCACUUGCAGAUUCAGCAGAGUUGUCUAUAGUGGCUUAAUUGGAAUUGCUGGACAAGAACAUUGAUUCUGCUUCACUCAGGUAAAGAUGAAAGUAACUGCAACAAUGGAUAUUGCAUUUGAAGGUCAUUGAGUUGUAGUCAGGCAAGGGGAGCAGAUAUUAAAACAUACACGCACAAAAUAAUGGGAUUUUUAUUUAGCAUCUCGCAAGUCUUGAGUAACAUAGUAUUAAUUGACCUUGAGAUUUCAUUCUUUUGUGACUCAUUGCAUUUGCUUUUGUGUUUCAGAUUAAUAUAGAAUAUUUUAAAGAAAGAGUAAUACAGCCAAUUUUAAUCUCUGGGAAGUUUAUGCAAGACAUAAUUUAUUUGUAAACUUUAUAAUAAUAUGUGAAUUAAAGACCCUUGUUAGUUUGGUAUGAAUCUGACAUAAGGGCUAAAAUCACUUUUUCAUUAGCCUUCUCCUGAUCUCAGGUUUACACCUAAGAGAUUCUUCACUCCAAAGUCUUCAUUUCCAAGCACAACCUGCUGGGUGCUGCGCUUUUCUGAGGUCUCCUCCCCAGCUCUGCAUCUAGCAGUGCUCAUGAUGCAAUGAUUUCCUGUCUGACUAUCCCAUUCCUAUCCUUUGCAAAGUUCACAUAGACCCAUUUGAGUACACUUUUAGUAGCAUACCAAGUUUAAGUGCCAAAGUUGUGUUUUAGUUCUUUCAUCCAGAAAGAAAACAUCAGCUGUUUCAAAUUUUAGAGUCCAGCUUGGGCAACAAGAGAAUUGUCAUGUCGUCGAUUGUGUAGUAAGACACAGUGAGUGUCCAGCAAUGUAAAAUCAGUCUAUAAAUGAGAAGAUUAAGACCAAAAGCAUCGGGUUACAAACAUCUCACUAAAGCCCAUUAGCAGGCAGAGAGCUCUCCGCGGAGCUAGAAAAUGAGACUUUUCCCUCCUUUCUGCCCCAUACAUUAGUGCUGAUCUCAGGAGCUCAUUUUUGCACCCUUUGUGGCAGACAACCAUAUAAUCAAAGGGUUCCCAUCACUAAAUCAUUUGAAAAGACAAGUAGAAAUUAGCUUUAGCUAAUUUAACUAGCCUUUGCCCCUCCUCCUGACCCUGAGGGUGAAGCACAUUUUAUCAUUCAUCCUCUGGGGGCUGGCUUAUGCUGGCUCCCUUUCCUUUGGCAGUGAUUUUAAGCAACCAAGUUCUUAUUACAAUUCUCAAAUUUAAAAUUAAGUUCUGAUCACAUCUUCUCAGGGCAUACCUAAGAGGCAGUGUUUAUCCCCAGCCAAAUCAAUUGUUUCCUCAAGUGACUCAUUCCUGAAAAUGUUAUUGUUUCUAAUAACCAGCUCAAAUAUGUAUUUUCAUUAAUCUUUUCUUUUACCUCCAUUUCACACGUGUUGCUGCAUGUCAGGCAGUUUCCACAAGGAUCUGCCAUGACAUCAUUGUGUGAGGUAUGAAAAAAAAAUUUUUUUUUUUCUAAUUUAAGAAUUACUUUUACUCAGAUGGUGGCUGGGCUGGGAAAUGUUCCCCAUUGCCCUGGGAGUUUUAGGCCAAGGCUUGUGUGUGUGUGUGUGUGUGUGUGUGUGUUGGAAGGGUCUCUCAUUGCCUAUUUCUGCUUAUAUAACACACACUGGUUUAGGUAGGUGGAGUCAGAAUGGGAAGAGGAAGUUCCCUAAGUGUUUCUUGCAUGCAAAGGUAAGUGGAGAAUGCCCAUCUGGGCACACAGGGCAAGGAUGCAGUGGAGUGACCUCUCCUUUCCCCUCCAACUCACAUGCUGGAGUUUAAAAACUGUAUCAGGAUGACAGAAACCAAGGGGUAAGACCACGGCUUCCUCUGGGGAUCUUCUAUAAACUGUAAGAACAAACACAGGUAUUUUGUAGUUCUUUAUCACAACGGGUCCUUUGCUGAUGAUUCUAGGUUUUAUGACUGCUGUUUUAUGUCCUACAAAUAGUAACAGGCAUUUCCCUUUGCCCUACACCACAGUAAGCCACUGGCCUAGACAAGAAGCAACUCUGCACUGCUUUUCAAACAUCAUCCUCCCUCUCGACCGCAGGGACUAUUUGGUUUCUAUUCUACUUCUGGCCUUUCAUAUUCCUGAUGGUGCAUUGGAUGAAACCCCGCAGCCAGGCGUGUGAACGUGGUUGAAAAGACCCAUGGAGGACCAGCAACGCUUCCCCACAGCGUGGGAUGGUCCCCUCCUGAGAUGGCCCACUGUCAGCGGGACUGACGCCAAGCACUGCAUCCUGUCUGCUUCUUGAACAGCCCCUUCAUUGUUUGUUCAGCUAUUCUGCUGCAUCUGCAGAUAGCCCUGCCUGAGAAACAGCCUCAAACCAGAAGGAGAGGAUGGCGGCAAGCCUUAGAGAAACAUGGAUGUUAUGUGGACUUCAUUGCCUCAGAGAAAAUUCCUUUUAGGGCUGAAGGCAGAGAAAGUCAGCAUUGAUUUCUGGCCUAAGCUCUUGGGAGUUUAGAGGGUUUGUCAAGGAGCCAAAAGAGGCAAAGGGACUUGAAGAUUUGGACGGCAUGUCUCGGAGAAGUAGCCCCACUCCUAGAGGAGAUGACAUUUGGCUUGGAGGAGAAAGAGGCCUCAAAGGUUUCACAUAUCUAAGUCCAAGGAACUUGAGCUCACAGUCAGACAUCAUAAAACACACAAGGAAAGAAGGCAUCAUGAAUAAAAGCAGGAACCAAUAUUAUUAGACACAACAGAUAAAAUGACCGUAAAGAAAAUUUGGGAAUGUGUAUUUCAGGGAAAAUGAAAAUGAUCCCAAUAAAGAUCGGAGAUGCAGGAAGGAAGGAAAACAUAGAAAUUGAGCCAGUUGGAGUGUGAGGCUUCAGAAUCGCCUUCCAACUCUCUGUGCACUGCACCAGCUGCUUCCCAUAGACUCCUGGUAAAAUAUAGAGCGGAAGGAAGAAGAGCCACUACCCAUAACAUCAGUGGCUGCUAACUAAGGAGUGUUUUGACAUGCUGGUACAGCCUAUCCUCAGCUUUCCAGAAGGUGGAAUCUUGUGAUAGUGGAAAGAAGUAGAAGAGAUGAAGUACCUAUGACUCCAGGAUUUGCCAGUGAAAGAAGUCAACAAUAUUUUAACUUUGAUCUUAACCAAAAGGCCAAGAAGUGAUGCUAAUAUUUUCAUAUACUACGACAGUUGCAGACACACGUCUAUCAUAGCUGGGUAGUAAUCCAGGCAACUCUGCCACAAGUCAUGGGCUCAGCCACCAGUCCACGAAGUCUCCAGUCACACAUAUUGCUUCGGACUAUUCUCUAUCCCCAGUUGUCAAUUAACUAAAAUAUUAAAUGAGGAUGCCAUGGAGUCCCCCAACUGAUUUCAUAAAUUUGGUGUCACAUUGUAAAUCAAGCAGCUGCAGAGUGGCUGGGACAUCUGUUUGGUUCUGUUAUUCUCUUUACUCCAAAAGGAAACUAACUCCAAAAGAAGAAAACCUGAUGUCUGAGCUGAAUCCUAAUCAUGAAGAUGUUUUUCCACCAUUCCUGUCUGUGUUUUUCUACCAUUCCUGUCUGUGUUUUUCUACCAAAGUGUGCUCUUGAAGUUCUGCAUUUCCCAGGGUGUGGUGAAAGAAGAGAAAAAAAUGUCCAAGAUGACUUCAACGUUCUGACCUUGAGUGGCUUGAGUGAAUGGAGUUACAACUGUGCAGAAACCACUGAAAGCUAACUACACUGGAACACUCUCAUUUCUGCAAAGAAAAAUAUCAUAUCCCAGGAUGAAAAGGAGGAGGAAGAGGAAAGGCUAACUUAACAAGAAGCUCUUUGACAUUCUUGAAUUAGACACCCAACGUAGUCCACGCAGUACGGAGGAUGACUUCAGAAGUGCAAUUCUGAUAUGGACUUUGUCUCCCUAAGGCUUUCAGUUCCUCAUAUUUAGGAUAAAACAGAAGUUUAUGUAAAGCCAAGGGAGAGGGUCACCGGGAGAGGGAAGGAGGAACAGCAGAAGGAGAGGUCCACACAUGAAAAUACUUGGAAGCGCCCCAGGGCCUAUCAGAUGCAGGUCUUGGCGGAAAUUACCAAACAUACUUUAGACAGGCUGCUGUGUUGCUGAGUGUGGACUGGCCUCAGGGCCUGCUGAUCAAAGCAAAAGGAAGCAGUGAAAAAAACAUCACCAUGUCUUCUUAGAGUCUAAUCUGGGGGCAAGAGGCCAGCAUGCACAGUUGGUGCUGAUUUUCUUGGGCGGAUAGAGGAAAGGUGUAGGCGUGGCCAACAUUUGAGCAGCAUGUGGUUCCUCUCACACGCCAUGCUGUUUCCGGCCUCCUUGCAUUUUACUCAUGCCAUCCUCCUGGUCACUUCUUUGAGAUAUUAAGUGCAUUCUUUAGGACUCAGACUCAGCUCAAGGGUCAGUGCAUCCAUGAAGCCUUACCUGGAUCCCAGAGGGAGCUCUGUGCUCCUCCUUUGUCUCCUAUAGGACCCAGUACAUGCGUCCAGUAUUAUCCAUACACACUGAAAUGAUCUAGCAUGUGUCUUCCCAUAGGAUUUCAAAUUCUUAGAAUAUAGGAGUGAUGCCUUCUUCCUACUUAUAUUUCCAGUGUUAACAGUGCCUGUCAAUUGACUUGAAGAUAACUAAAAGUCUGGUUGUUAAGGGCUGCUUCCCACCUCCAAAUACUUCCCUGGAAGUCAUUGUAUGGGCACUGACAUUGGUAGGUCUCCACUGGCUUGUAGAUGCUUCUGAUUAUAAGGUAGUCUCAGAUGCCUUCAGAAAGUUCUAAGACUGUAUAAAACAUUUCCUUCACAACCAAUAACUGUGUAUUAUUGUUCGUGUAAUUCCAGAAGUUAUCCUUUUGAUAGAGAGCAAUUACUUUAUUGAUUGAGAGUUAGCUAAUUAUGUAAUAAAGGUAAAGAUUUGCAUAGAGAAGUGUAAGAGACAUGGAGAAGAUUCUUGGUGGGUGGUGAGGGCGGGUACAUUUACACCAGACCAAGACUGAUCUGGCUGUGGCGCUGGAGAUUAAACUGUUUAAAUAUGGGAUCCUAAGAAGACUUCUGUGCAUUCUAGACUUCAAGAGACAGAUUGCAUUUUUUUUUAGGAAAUGUAGAUAAAACCCUUUGACUGAAUGACUCUAGAAAAUAAUACUGAUUUGAGAGAGAAAGGAAAUUCUAAAACAAAAUCCUGACAGCAGAGGCAUGAAUGAUCCUCAUGAGGAAGAAAUGAGACUCUGCUUAACUACACUGUAGAUUUUGGUGUGGAAGAAGAUGGAAGGUGGGUAUAUAGCCAAAUUUUGAAUACAAUAGGGCAGCACAAAACUGUGACAACAGUGGCAGAAGGACUGAAGUACAGAAUGUGUGAAAGUUGUUGUGAAAUAAAUAGAGAGCAACAGAAAAGGACUAUUUGGGCUGGGCAAUGGUAAUCCCAGAACUUUGGGAGGCUGAGUCAGGUGGAUCACCUGAGGUCAGGAGCUCAAGA